GUGGGGAAUUUUGGACAAUGGGCGCAAGCCUGAUCCAGCAAUGCCGCGUGCAGGAAGAAGGCCUUCGGGUUGUAAACUGCUUUUGUACGGAACGAAACGGUCCUGGUUAAUACCUGGGGCUAAUGACGGUACCGUAAGAAUAAGCACCGGCUAACUACGUGCCAGCAGCCGCGGUAAUAUGUAGGGUGCGAGCGUUAAUCGGAAUUACUGGGCGUAACGCGUGCGCAGGCGGUGCUGUAAGACAGGCGUGAAAGCCCCGGGCUCAACCUGGGAAUUGCGCUUGUGACUGCAUUGGUGGAUUACGGCAGAGGGGGAUGGAAUUCCGCGUGUAGCAGUGAAAUGCGUAGAUAUGCGGAGGAACACCGAUGGCGAAGGCAGUCCCCUGGGCCUGUACUGACGCUCAUGCACGAAAGCGUGGGGAGCAAACAGGAUUAGAAACCCUGGUAGUCC
rnacentral:rRNA from 1 species